rnacentral:tRNA from 1 species
GGCCAGAUAGCUCAGUUGAUAGAGCACCUGACUUGAGAUUCAGGAGACCUUGGGUCAAAACUUUGUCUCGUCC